GGAGUUUGGACCGUGUCUCAGUUCCAAUGUGGGGGACCUUCCUCUCAGAACCCCUACUGAUCGGUGGCUAGGUGGGCCGUUGCCCCGCCUACUGCCUAAUCAGACGCAUCCCCAUCCUGAGGCGAUGAAUCUUUCGUCACGCUCAGAUGCCUUUUCGUGACAGCAUAGGGUAUUAAUCCGGUUUUCGCCGGGCUAUUCCCUAGUAAGGGGAAGGUUGGAUACGCGUUACUCACCCGUGCGCCGGUCGCCAUCAAAGUUUGCAAGCAAACUUCAUGCUGCCCCUCGACUUGCAUGUGUUAAGCCUGUAGCUAGCGUUCAUC
rnacentral:rRNA from 1 species